rnacentral:rRNA from 1 species
GACGAACGCUGGCGGCGUGCUUAACACAUGCCAGUCGAACGGAAAGGCCCUGCUUUUGUGGGGUGCUCGAGUGGCGAACGGGUGAGUAACACGUGAGUAACCUGCCCUUGACUUUGGGAUAACCUCAGGAAACUGGGGCUAAUACCGGAUAGGAGCUCCUGCCGCAUGGUGGGGGCUGGAAAGUUUCGGCGGUUGGGGAUGGACUCGCGGCUUAUCAGCUUGUUGGUGGGGUAGUGGCUUACCAAGGCUUUGACGGGUAGCCGGCCUGGGAGGGUGACCGGCCACAUUGGGACUGGGAUGCGGCCCAGACUCCUACGGGAGGCAGCAGUGGAGAAUAUUGCACAAUGGGCGGAGGCCUGAUGCAGCAACGCCGCGUGCGGGGUAACGGCCUUCGGGUUGUAUACCACUUUCGCCUGUGACGAGACGUGAAUGACGGUAAUGGGUAAAGAAGCACCGGCUAACUACGUG